AGCGAACGCUGGCGGCAGGCCUAACACAUGCAAGUCGAACGGACCUUUCGUGGUUAGUUGCUGACGGGGGAGGAGCACGGGGGACCGUUCCUGUAUGUUCGGGAUAACUCAUUUUAACUUGUGCUAAUACCGGAUGUGCCCUGCUGGUGAAGGAUUUAUCGCAUUUAGAGCGGCACGCGUCUUAUUAGCUAGUUGGGUUAGGUAAUGGCUCACCAAGGCGAGGAUCAGUAGCUGGUCUGAGAGGAUGAUCAGACACAUUGGUAGUGAGACACGGCGCAGACUAUUACGGGAGGGAGCAGAGGCGAAUCCUGCGAAACCGCCGAAAGCCUGACGCCGCCCUGGCGCGUGAACGAUGAAGGUCUUAGGAAAGUAAAAUUCUUUAACCGGCGACGAUACUGACGGUACCCGGAGAAGAAGCCCCGGCUAACUUCGUG
rnacentral:rRNA from 1 species